rnacentral:rRNA from 1 species
AGUCGAACGGCAGCACGGGUGCUUGCACCUGGUGGCGAGUGGCGAACGGGUGAGUAAUACAUCGGAACGUGUCCUGUAGUGGGGGAUAGCCCGGCGAAAGCCGGAUUAAUACCGCAUACGAUCUACGGAUGAAAGCGGGGGAUCUUCGGACCUCGCGCUAUAGGGGCGGCCGAUGGCGGAUUAGCUAGUUGGUGGGGUAAAGGCCUACCAAGGCGACGAUCCGUAGCUGGUCUGAGAGGACGACCAGCCACACUGGGACUGAGACACGGCCCAGACUCCUACGGGAGGCAGCAGUGGGGAAUUUUGGACAAUGGGCGAAAGCCUGAUCCAGCAAUGCCGCGUGUGUGAAGAAGGCCUUCGGGUUGUAAAGCACUUUUGUCCGGAAAGAAAUCCYUGRUCCUAAUAUGGUCGGGGGAUGACGGUACCGGAAGAAUAAGCACCGGCUAACUACGUGCCAGCAGCCGCGGUAAUACGUAGGGUGCAAGCGUUAAUCGGAAUUACUGGGCGUAAAGCGUGCGCAGGCGGUGAUGUAAGACCGAUGUGAAAUCCCCGGGCUCAACCUGGGAACUGCAUUGGUGACUGCAUCGCUUGAGUAUGGCAGAGGGGGGUAGAAUUCCACGUGUAGCAGUGAAAUGCGUAGAGAUGUGGAGGAAUACCGAUGGCGAAGGCAGCCCCCUGGGUCAAUACUGACGCUCAUGCACGAAAGCGUGGGGAGCAAACAGGAUUAGAUACCCUGGUAGUCCACGCCCUAAACGAUGUCAACUGGUUGUCGGGUCUUCAUUGACUUGGUAACGUAGCUAACGCGUGAAGUUGACCGCCUGGGGAGUACGGUCGCAAGAUUAAAACUCAAAGGAAUUGACGGGGACCCGCACAAGCGGUGGAUGAUGUGGAUUAAUUCGAUGCAACGCGAAAAACCUUACCUACCCUUGACAUGUAUGGAAGUCCGCUGAGAGGUGGAUGUGCCCGAAAGGGAGCCAUAACACAGGUGCUGCAUGGCUGUCGUCAGCUC